rnacentral:rRNA from 1 species
CCCAAGAGAUCGGGAUAACACCUGGAAACAGAUGCUAAUACCGGAUAACAACAGAUGAUGCCUAUCAACUGUUUAAAAGAUGGUUCUGCUAUCACUCUUGGAUGGACCUGCGGUGCAUUAGCUAGUUGGUAGGGUAACGGCCUACCAAGGCGAUGAUGCAUAGCCGAGUUGAGAGACUGAUCGGCCACAUUGGGACUGAGAUACGGCCCCAAGACUCCGUACGGGGAGGCAGCAGCU